CCUACGGGUGGCAGCAGUGAGGAAUAUUGGUCAAUGGACGAGAGCCUGAACCAGCCACGUAGCGUGAAGGAUGACUGCCCUAUGGGUUGUAAACUUCUUUUAUAUGGGAAUAAAAUGUUCAACGUGUCGGAUUUUGUAUGUACCAUAUGAAUAAGGAUCGGCUAACUCCGUGCCAGCAGCCGCGGUAAUACGGAGGAUCCGAGCGUUAUCCGGAUUUAUUGGGUUUAAAGGGAGCGUAGGGGGUUUGUUAAGUCAGUUGUGAAAGUUUGCGGCUCAACCGUAAAAUUGCAGUUGAAACUGGCAGUCUUGAGUACAGUAGAGGUGGGCGGAAUUCGUGGUGUAGCGGUGAAAUGCUUAGAUAUCACGAAGAACUCCGAUUGCGAAGGCAGCUUACUGGACUGCAACUGACAUUGAUGCUCGAAAGUGUGGGUAUCAAACAGGAUUAGAUACCCGGGUAGUC
rnacentral:rRNA from 1 species